rnacentral:lncRNA from 1 species
AAAUUCAUAUUUAUGAAAGAAAAAUAGGUUAAUACCAAGGUGCAAUAAAAAGUUAAUAGGGUUAUCUCUGGAUUGUGAAACUUUGUGUUAACAUAUUGACAGCCUUGGUUAACUUUGAUGUUUAAAUUUGUCCCUCUUGGUCUUCUAGUCUAUGUGCUUUAUUUAACAAAACCAAAGUGACCAAGCAAAACACCAGUAACAUUAGAUGAGUACUUUCUUCUCCAUUGCCAAUGAUACCCACUAGAGUCAAGGUGACUGUAGCAAUAUGCUCUCAUAGGGAAAGAAAGAUAGAAAAACAAUUGUCAACUGAGGGGAAAUACAAAAUCACCCUUAGGGAAAUAUCACAGUUGCAGGCAACAUCACUAAUGGAUGCUAAAAUCAAUGUACAAAGGAUUAAAGAGAAAGGGGAUGUUAGCAUUAAUUUAAAGUAUCUCCUCCAAGAUAUUUAUCAACUAGAAAGAGAAAAUUAGUCAUUCUACAGUUGGAGAAAUCUAGCAGAUAUAAGGUUAAAAUCACUACUAAUAAUACAUACAGACAUCAUACAUAAUGCACUGAAAAGGGUGUGACAUUAUAUCUGUGGUGUUCUUCCCAAAAGUGCAUAACUUCAAUUGAUUCAUGAAGAAAUACCUGAUAAACCUAAGUUCAGAGACACUGUACAAAAUAACUGGCCAGACCUCAUUAAAAGUGUGAAGGUCAUGAAAGACAAGAAAAGAACAAGAAACUGUCACAAAUUAAAAUAGACUAAGAAGAUGCAAAACAACUAAAUGCAUGCAGGAUUGGAUCCUAGAACAGAAAAACAACAUUAAUUUUUUUUUAAAAAAAGCUGGUGAAUUUUAAUAAGAUCUGAAGUUUAUCUAACAGUAUUUCACCAAUAUGUGGUGAAGCUAGGCUAAGGGUAUAAUUAGUGAAUUUCUGCAACUUUUCAGUUAAGUAAUAAAUUAUUUGAAAAUGAAAAGGUUUUUAAAAUGGGAGGAAAAUGCCACACCUUCCUUCUGAAUUUGAUUCUUGUCCCAUAGAUGUCAAAGAAACUUUCCAUUUUUCCCAUAGUUUUCUAUUUCAUAUAAGCACAGAUAUACCCUGCCUGAGCCUUAACAACACAGCUAAAAGAGGUUUUUCACAAUCCAUAGUGUUACAUUGAUGUGAUAGUGUCUCCCACUGUUUUAAUGGUGCCCUCUAAUCAGGAAAGGGCUUUCUUGCUCUCUGUAGAGUAUUAGAGAGGGAGGGAGAUUGUGUUAUUAAGCAUUUUAAAAUAGCCCCAUCUAAUAGAGUUGAGAGGGUUUAUCUAGUCACCUUCUGUAACAAUCACAAUAUAAAUGGCCAGUACCUAAAUAAGUGCUAGGCACAUAAAUUUGUGUUGACUGGUGAAUAAGAAGCAUAAAACAACUAUGUGCUCCAUCUCCCCAUACCGAAAAGGUAAAAAUCAUUUUUCCCAUAAAGAACUAACACUUCCUCAAAUUUAUGUCCAUUAUACCAUGUAGUAAUUUCUUAUAAGGUACACACAUAGUCCUCUAAUAAGAAUGAAGACAGUAACACAUAAUUUAUUAUAAUAGGUUUUUUGUAGAGGGAAAAAAAUGAAACAGGUAUAGACCUCUUAUUUUUGACUCUGAGACUGGUUAAUGAUCACAUUUCUUCACUCAUUUAAAUACUGUUGCAUGACGGUUGAUGAAGUAAAUGCAUUCCAUUAUCUAUCCCUAAAGUAUGUAGGCGAAACCCUAUGGCCAUUAUUCCCCCCCACUUACUUCUAGGGCAGUUCUAAAGUAUGCAAUUUAGAUAAUACUCAGAUCUGUCUUAUUUAACCUAGUAAGAGACAGAGAACUUAAAGAUGGGAGUGAAUUCCUAAGACUGUACCAGGUACUCCUUAUCAGAGGGCUUCCCCUGAUUGAUCUAAGUCAUUAAGACUUGGGAGAUAGAUAGAUAGAUAUUAAUAGAUUUUAAUAUAUUAUAUUUUUAAUUAAAUUUUACCUGGCUAAUGCUGUAUAAUAGGAGAUAGAACACCUUGUUAUCAAGAAGUUUUUAAUUCAGUAUAGAGGACAAAAAUAAUACUUUAAAUUAAUCAUAGAAUACAUAAAUAUCAGGCCAUAUAGUAGGGUCAGUAUGCCAUCCAGCAUCACAGCAAAUAUUCACAUACUGAAUUGCUGCUUUCUAUGUAACAGUCACUGCUUGGUAUUAGGAAAAUAGAGGCAAACAAACAUUUUCUCUACUCUCAAGGAAUUCACAAGUCUAAGGGAGAAUUUCAAAAAUUAAAUAAAAAUGAUAAUAAAAUAAAAUGUAAUACAGGUAGUGAAGUGUUAAAAAAAAGAAGAGGAAGCACUUAAACUCUUUUGGAUGGAAGAAGGAAGACUCUGGAGAGGGGGUGAUGUUUGAACUGAGAUUUAAUGGAUGAAAGGGAAUUUUGAAAGAAAGAACACAGGUUGGGAGAAAGGGCAUAAGCAUAAAGGAUAGCAGGUAUUAAGUCAGGAAAGCAUGAAAAGAGGUAAAGUGUAAGGAGUCAUAAAAUUUGUGGGUAACUGCAGCCGAUGGUACAGAGGGAAAUGAGGGCAGAAGUCACAGCUUGGAAAGGCAGAGCAGGGCCAGGGCAGGAGGGAACUUUAUGAAACACUGGGAAGCUGGAGGCUUUAUGAGAUAGAUAAUGAGGAAUCACUGCAUAUGAAGUGGAAUUGAGAGUAAAGAAAGAGGAUUUCAACAAGGACUAGAAGGUUUCUGGCCAGGCUGCUAAGUGGAUGGUGCAGGGAUGAGAAAUGCAGAGAGGGAGCUCAUGAAGUCUCCCUGAAUAUGAGAGCUACAGAAGCCAGAGAAGCAUCCCUGCAGAUAUACCUGGUGAGUAGUCAAGAGAAACUGAGGCAACAGAAAGGCAGAAGAAAAUAAAACAAACAAAACAAAACAAAACAUGGCCCAAAAUGGUCAAAAGCUGUGCUGCCCAAUCUGGAAGCCACUAAUCCUAUGUGGCAACACAGUCCCUGAAUGAGAUGUGCUAAGUGUAAAAACACAUCUGAUUCCAACGAUUUCAUUUUAAAAAAUAAAAUAUCUCAUUAAUAAUUUGUAUAUUGAUUCUAUGUUGAGAUAAUAAUAUUUUGAAAUAGUGGAUUAAAUAAAAACAUUGGGGAUACCUGGGUGGCUCAGUGAUUGAGCAUCUGCCUUUGGCUCAGGGUAUGAUACCGGGGUCCUAGGAUCGAGUCCUGUGUCGGGCUCCCUGUGGGGAGCCUGCCUCACCCUCUGCCUGUGUUUCUGCUUCUCUCUGUGUAUCUCAUGAAUAAAUAAAUAGAAUAUUAACAAAUAUAUAAAUAAAAUAAAUAGUUAAAAUUCUUUUUACCUGUUUAUAUUUACCUUUUUAAAACAUAGCUAUUAGGAAGUUAAAAUUGCCUAAGUAGUUACAAAUGUAGUUUGCAUUAUAUUUCUGUAGGAUAGUGCUGGUCUAAAGGCUCAGCCUUAACACUCUGGUACAGUUUAGGGAUGUGACGAGGGAAGCAAAGCUAGUCUGGGCACAUGUUCAAAGGUAGAGGCUGUUCAGAGACUAGAAAAGAAAAUGGAAAAAAUCAGAAGUACUCAAGACAUGAUCAAUUAUCAUUUUGACAUGUCAUGGUGAGGAAAACAGCCUAAAUGGACAUGCAUAAAGAUGGACACAUAAAAAAGAAGGGAAUCCAAUUAUGGAGAAUAAUGAAUGAAUAUGGUUAAACAUGUCUGCAGUAUCAGAGAGCAGAUGGCAAGGGUGGCAUCAAGAUGCGAAUAGUGUUUUA